rnacentral:rRNA from 1 species
UACAGAGGGGGCAAGCGUUGUUCGGAAUUACUGGGCGUAAAGGGCGCGUAGGCGGCCUGCUAAGUCGAACGUGAAAUCCCCAGGCUCAACCUGGGAACUGCAUUUGAAACUCCCUUUCUUGAGUAUCGGAGAGGAAAGCGGAAUUCCUGGUGUAGAGGUGAAAUUCGUAGAUAUCAGGAGGAACACCAGUGGCGAAGGCGGCUUUCUGGACGGUUACUGACGCUGAGACGCGAAAGCGUGGGGAGCAAACAGG